GUUGUAUAGUCAAGUAAUUAAGUGCAUGUGGUGGAUGCCUUGGCAGUCAGAGGCGAUGAAAGACGUGAUAGCCUGCGAAAAGCUCCGGGGAGGCGGCAAAUAUCCUUUGAUCCGGAGAUGUCUGAAUGGGGGAACCCACCUACUUUAAGGUAGGUAUUGCAACAUGAAUACAUAGUGUUGCAAGGCGAACGAGGGGAAGUGAAACAUCUCAGUACCCUUAGGAAAAGAAAUCAAUUGAGAUUCCCUCAGUAGCGGCGAGCGAACGGGGAUCAGCCCAUUAAGUUAUGUGUGUUUUAGUGGAACGCUCUGGGAAGUGCGAACGUAGAGGGUGAUAUUCCCGUACACGAAAGGGCACACAUAAUGAUGACGAGUAGGGCGAGGCACGUGAAACCUUGUCUGAAUAUGGGGGGACCAUCCUCCAAGGCUAAAUACUCCUGACUGACCGAUAGUGAACCAGUACCGUGAGGGAAAGGCGAAAAGAACCCCUGUGAGGGGAGUGAAAUAGAUCCUGAAACCGCAUGCAUACAAGCAGUGGGAGCACCUUCGUGGUGUGACUGCGUACCUUUUGUAUAAUGGGUCAGCGACUUAUAUUCAGUAGCAAGGUUAACCGUAUAGGGGAGCCGUAGAGAAAUCGAGUCUUAAUAGGGCGUUUAGUUGCUGGGUAUAGACCCGAAACCAGGCGAUCUAUCCAUGAGCAGGUUGAAGGUUGGGUAACACUAACUGGAGGACCGAACCCACUGUCGUUGAAAAGCCAGGGGAUGACUUGUGGAUAGGGGUGAAAGGCUAAUCAAGCCUGGUGAUAGCUGGUUCUCCCCGAAAGCUAUUUAGGUAGCGCCUCGGACGAAUACCAUAGGGGGUAGAGCACUGUUUCGGCUAGGGGGUCAUCCCGACUUACCAAACCGAUGCAAACUCCGAAUACCUAUGAGUACUAUCCGGGAGACAGACUGCGGGUGCUAACGUCCGUAGUCAAGAGGAAAACAAUCCAGACCGCCAGCUAAGGCCCCAAAAUCAUAGUUAAGUGGGAAACGAUGUGGGAAGGCAUAGACAGCUAGGAGGUUGGCUUAGAAGCAGCCACCCUUUAAAGAAAGCGUAAUAGCUCACUAGUCGAGUCGGCCUGCGCGGAAGAUGUAACGGGGCUAAAACUAUGUGCCGAAGCUGCGGAUNNNNNNNNNNNNNNNNNNNNNNNNNNNNNNNNNNNNNNNAUGCUGGAGGUAUCAGAAGUGCGAAUGCUGACGUGAGUAACGACAAAACGGGUGAAAAACCCGUUCGCCGAAAGACCAAGGGUUCCAGUCCAACGUUAAUCGGGGCUGGGUGAGUCGACCCCUAAGGCGAGGCCGAAAGGCGUAGUCGAUGGGAAAAUGGUUAAUAUUCCAUUACUUCUGUGUAAUGCGAUGAGAGGACGGAGAAGGCUAAAUCAGCCUGGCGUUGGUUGUCCAGGUGAAAGGAUGUAGGCAUGUAUCUUAGGCAAAUCCGGGGUACUCUAUGCUGAGAUCUGAUAGCAAGCUGUACUUGUACAGCGAAGUGGUUGAUGCCAUGCUUCCAGGAAAAGUCUCUAAGCUUCAGUUACACAGGAAUCGUACCCGAAACCGACACAGGUGGUCAGGUCGAGUAGACCAAGGCGCUUGAGAGAACUCUGCUGAAGGAACUAGGCAAAAUGGUACCGUAACUUCGGGAGAAGGUACGCUGUUGUUGGUGAUGGAACUCGCUUCCUGAGCUGACGACAGCCGCAGAAACCAGGCCGCUGCAACUGUUUAUUAAAAACAUAGCACUCUGCAAACACGAAAGUGGACGUAUAGGGUGUGAUGCCUGCCCGGUGCUGGAAGGUUAAUUGAUGGGGUUAGCGUAAGCGAAGCUCUUGAUCGAAGCCCCAGUAAACGGCGGCCGUAACUAUAACGGUCCUAAGGUAGCGAAAUUCCUUGUCGGGUAAGUUCCGACCUGCACGAAUGGCAUAAUGAUGGCGGCGCUGUCUCCAGCAGAGGCUCAGUGAAAUCGAAAUCGCUGUGAAGAUGCAGUGUACCCGCGGCUAGACGGAAAGACCCCGUGAACCUUUACUGCAGCUUGACACUGAACUUUGACCUUACUUGUGUAGGAUAGGUGGGAGGCUUUGAAGCUGGAACGCUAGUUCCAGUGGAGCCGUCCUUGAAAUACCACCCUGGUAAUGUUGAGGUUCUAACUCUGUCCCGUGAUCCGGGACGAGGACCGUGUCUGGUGGGUAGUUUGACUGGGGCGGUCUCCUCCUAAAGAGUAACGGAGGAGUACGAAGGUGCGCUCAGCGUGGUCGGAAAUCACGCGUAGAGUAUAAAGGCAAAAGCGCGCUUAACUGCGAGACCCACAAGUCGAGCAGGUACGAAAGUAGGUCUUAGUGAUCCGGUGGUUCUGUAUGGAAGGGCCAUCGCUCAACGGAUAAAAGGUACUCUGGGGAUAACAGGCUGAUACCGCCCAAGAGUUCAUAUCGACGGCGGUGUUUGGCACCUCGAUGUCGGCUCAUCUCAUCCUGGGGCUGAAGCAGGUCCCAAGGGUAUGGCUGUUCGCCAUUUAAAGAGGUACGCGAGCUGGGUUUAGAACGUCGUGAGACAGUUCGGUCCCUAUCUACCGUGGGCGCUGGAAAUUUGAGAGGAUCUGCUCCUAGUACGAGAGGACCAGAGUGGACGAACCUCUGGUGUACCGGUUGUGACGCCAGUCGCAUCGCCGGGUAGCUAUGUUCGGAAGGGAUAACCGCUGAAAGCAUCUAAGCGGGAAGCCUACCUCAAGAUAAGAUUUCCCUAGGACUUUAUGUCCUCUAAAGAGCCGUUCGAGACUAGGACGUUGAUAGGUUGGAUGUGGAAGCAUAGUGAUAUGUGAAGCUGACCAAUACUAAUUGCUCGUGAGGCUUGACUAUACAACACCCAAGCAGUUG
rnacentral:rRNA from 1 species